AGCGAACGUUAGCGGCGCGCCUAACACAUGCAAGUCGCACGAGAAAGGGCUUCGGCCCCGGUAAAGUGGCGCACGGGUGAGUAACACGUGGGCAACCUGCCCAACCCUGGGGGAUAACCUGCCGAAAGGCGGGCUAAUACCGCGUACGAGGGCUCGACUUCGGUCGGGUUCUGAACGCAGGCCUCUGUAUACAAGCUUGUGGGGUUGGGUCGGCCCGCGCUCCAUCAGCUAGUUGGUGAGGUAACGGCUCACCAAGGCUACGACGGAUAGCUGGUCUGAGAGGAUGAUCAGCCACACUGGAACUGAGACACGGUCCAGACUCCUACGGGAGGCAGCAGUGGGGAAUCUUGCGCAAUGGACGAAAGUCUGACGCAGCGACGCCGCGUGGGUGACGAAGGCCUUCGGGUUGUAAAGCCCUGUGGGGUGAGACGAACAGCUGGGGUUCAAAUAGGGCCUCGGUCUGACGGUAUCACCUUAGCAAGCACCGGCUAACUCUGUGCCAGCCGCCGCCGUAAGAC
rnacentral:rRNA from 1 species